CACAAACACUCUUGAACCCCAUUUUCAGAUCAGACUACUUGAGGGAUUUAAGUGGGUUGUAACUGAAUGAAAAUAUGUUGAUUAAUUGAGUCCAUUAUAAGCAUGUUUUUGCCUGUGUCCAUCCCUGGACUGAGAUACAGGUACAACAUUAUUCUCAAGUAUCUAAACACAAGAGUUAAGUUUUUUUAAUGGCAGCGGGAGUAAUACAAGUAAAGAAAGACAGCAAAUCUUCUGAUAACUCUUUAUACACAGAUACACACACACACAAAUCAAUUGCCCUGCAGAAGAAUACUUUAAAAAACUACUCAUACCUCUGCAGAAUACUUUAAAGGAGAAAUGGGAAGUCAGGCAAAGGGGCCAAAUUUUGCUUUGCUGGCCACUUUGCAGUCACAUAGUAUAUUCCCAUUGAAGACAUUCCUUUUCAAAAAAAUAUUACUACAUACCAGUAUUUAUUUAUAACUGUUCAUACUGGGAGGACUUUAAAGGUUAAACAGAACUAAUGGUUAUAGAUAGUGACAGACAUGAUUUCAGAGUGGGUUACAGAAGCGUUACGGUCAAUAGACCCAAGCUACCCAAAUUUUUGCUCUGUAUUUCCAACCCACUUCCUCUGCCACACAACUCUACCUAUCCUGUUUUCAUCAUCCAAUUGAAUUGGAUGUCUGCUGAGGUGAACAAAGCUUCAUUUCUCAUGACUCUCACAAUGUAACGUUAUAGCUAAGGUAGGGGCACCCCUUCCUGCAGAGACUAGAACAACUAGUCUAACCUGUGGCUGAGAAGCUUACACCAUGGUGAGGGAGAUUCUGUGGGUGUGGCUUGGAAUAACAAUGUCCUGCUGGAGCAGGGUUGGGCUAGAUGACCUCCAGGUCCCUUCCAGCCCUGGAUUAUCCUCUGAAGCUGCGUCUAGUGCCAGGAACCAGAUUCUUGAAAGGAUAGCCCCAUCAAGUUAGAAUAAUCCCGAUCCUGAUGUCACUGCCGUGAUUGCCAAUAGACUUCUGGACCCAAUUAAAGUGCUGAUAAUCAUCUUCAAAGCUGUUUACUGCACAUCACUGGAAUAUACUUGGCAACGCCUUGCCAGGAUCAAAUCUGCCCAACUAGACCAGUCAUUAAGUGAAGGCCUGUUAUGGAUUCUCCUUCCUUGGGAGGUACAUGAGAUGUGGGCCAGAUUAACAAGCUUUCUCAGUGGUGAUCCCCACUUACUCAGAAAUACAGGGCUACUAGCAGUCCUAGUUUCAGCAGGAGUUUAGCCCUCAGCAUACUUUAAGCUACAGGAUGUCAAAUGAUAUUUCAUAAUUCUGUCAGGAGCAUUACCAAGCAAGCAAGAUUUUCAUAGUGAACUGCAAAGAGCAAGGAGUUAGGUUAUAUAUAGAAUCUUAGAAAUACGAUACAUGUAUCUUAUCUCUCAUUUAUCAGUGAGAAUUAUUCAAUCAGUGGGGGCAUCCAAUUUUUCCUUUGAUCCUCUUUCUAACUGAGCCCUGGUUGAAUGGGGAGGGUCAUUUAAUACAACAGAAGGGUCCAUCUAUUUUGUUCUGCAAUCUUACAGAAAUAUCUAUUUUCUUCCCCAAGGCCAGAG